UAUAAAAACAUUAUCGCAAGUUUAUUUUCAACAUUGGCACGACAUCAAGAAUAACAAAAAUUAAGUUGUUGUUGGUGACAAAGCGAUGUUCGAAUUAAAGAGCAAAAAACAAAUCCAGUUGGAAUUAGCUCUUAAAAAACAGCAGAAAAAAAAUUUUAAUUUUGAGAAAUGGUGGCUUCGAUAUUAAUUUCAAGAUUAAAAAUAAAAAUGACUGCACACGGAAAAAUUUAUUUAAAACAAAUGGUAUCCGGCUGAUUGCGAACGUAUAUAAACAAUGAAAUACAUAACAUCGCACAUAAUAGAGACCAGUACAGAGCUGAAAACGAACAUAA